rnacentral:rRNA from 1 species
CCUACGGGGGGCAGCAGUGAGGAAUAUUGGUCAAUGGACGAGAGUCUGAACCAGCCAAGUAGCGUGAAGGAUGACUGCCCUAUGGGUUGUAAACUUCUUUUAUAUGGGAAUAAAAUGUUCCACGUGUGGGAUUUUGUAUGUACCAUAUGAAUACGGAUCGGCUAACUCCGUGCCAGCAGCCGCGGUAAUACGGAGGAUCCGAGCGUUAUCCGGAUUUUUUGGGUUUAAAGGGAGCGUAGGUGGAUUGUUAAGUCAGUUGUGAAAGUUUGCGGCUCAACCGUAAAAUUGCAGUUGAAACUGGCAGUCUUGAGUACAGUAGAGGUGGGCGGAAUUCGUGGUGUAGCGGUGAAAUGCUUAGAUAGCACGAAGAACUCCGAUUGCGAAGGCAGCUCACUGGACUGCAACUGACACUGAGGCUCGAAAGUGUGGGUAUCAAACAGGAUUAGAUACCCUUGUAGUC